UGAAGACUAUCUGAGCACAGCACAGAAGGGUAAGACACGGAACGCCAGGCAACAGAGUGACCACCCUUGGGAAAUAGACUCCAGCAGCCACCACAGUUAAAAUGAAGUGCAAGGCAGUUUUAUGAUAGACCGCCGGGACUGUGAGCAUCAUUGACAGGAAAACCUUGAUAAGGCUACAAGAGUUAGAUAGUGAUUUUAUACAGGAACUUUGACAGACUCGGGUCUCAGGGUGGACAAGAGCUAGACAGACACAAAGAAAGGCAUUAAUAAACAAGGAAGCCGUAGAGUGAGAGACAUGAAGAAGCAGGCUUCUACUCAGCAAAAUGUAGGAGAGUGGAGUGUUUAAUGGAGGGAGGAGAGACAAGGAGUAGAGAGAAAUGACCUGGGAAGCACCUUGAAUGUCACAUAGUGAAAUUUAAAUAUGUUCCUUCAGAAAAUAAGGAUUUAUGUGUGUCUUUCUUGGAUCAUCAUUCAAGAAGGAACAUUACAGUGUUUCUGGAAUGGGCUCUUGCGAUGAGUAGGAAUAAGGUGUUGUUAGUAGAAAGGGAAAGAAACAUAGCUGAAUAGCUUGCAUGGUACUGAGUGAGGGGCUUGGCAGAGAAAGCAAGGAUGAGGGAGGCAAUAAAUUGGGACUUUAUACAUUUUAAAUUCACAUUCUGCAGUGUAUUUUUGUGAUAAUACUAUUUUUGUUCAUCUACCCAUCCAGGUGGCAUUUAAAAAGAUGUCAUCCUGAUAGUCGUAUCAAGGCUUAAGAUGAGGGUCCUAGAGGUAUCAUCUUUUUCACUAUGAGCCUCUUCAAGUCCUCCUGGACAUAGAGUAGGGCACUCAAAAAUAGCUAUAUAGCUUUUAGAUCACUUAAUAUGUAUAAUAUUAUACUAAUUAGAUUAUAUCUACUUUCCCCUUUAAUCCUUUCAGAAGUCUUGUAGUCUGGUAGAAGAUUAUUUCCUUCAUUAGGGGCUGGGGAAAGAGCUCGAUAAAGCGGCUGCCGUACAAGUGUGAGGCACAAAUUCAGACGCCCAUCACCACGUACGUAAAACACAAAUCGGGCGUGGCAGCCUGCAUUUUAACCCUGGUGACGGCAUACGUACAUAAGCAUAAAGAUUAUAAAACUGUGGUGUUUGGUGUCUUUAGGGUGAAAGGUUGUAUGCCACUUACCCUUAGAUAUUAGAAAAAACUGUGUUUCUCUGCUGUCUGGACAGAAUGUGACUAAGCAAGAGAGUCCAAGGUUCAGACAAUGAAAGGGGCCAAUGCAAUGGGUAUGGAUUCGUGCAAUAUUUCUUAGAUUUGAUAUUCUUCAGAGACUCAAACAAUGGUCCACUAGGCAACACAUGGUAUCUUAAAUUUUAUGAAAACCAAAACUUUCAAGAAUACACAAAUUCAGAGGAAAAAUAAAAAUAAUUUUAUACUUUUACCUGUUAAAAUGUACUAUUGUUUUGUCAUUUGAGACUAGACCACCUUCAAAAGUAUAGAGUAUCAUUGCGCCUUCCAUCUUUCAGAAGCUGCGCAAAGUCCCUUGGGCAAAGAUCUCCAGCCUACAGAGUUUCCCAUCCUGCUGCCUUCCUUCCCCAAGGAACACACUUUCCACCUCAGAUUUCCAGGGUUGCCCAGCACUUGGGGAGUUCCGAAGCUCUGGGUGAAGUUCUGAACUAUUCUCUGGCCGGCUUUGAAGUGGAAUUUGAAGAAACACUCAGCAUAUCACAUACAAGGAAUACGCCUGACAGGAGUAACCACACUUAUGCUGUUACGUUCUGUAUAACAGCAUUUGCAAACACAUAAAGCAACUGUAAAUGUUCUUACAACUUCAUGUCUCUAUGCACAUGUUUUCUAAUUAUAGAUGAGAACCUGGCUGUAAUUCUGACACAUCUAAGAGAUCUGGGACUGUAGUUAAUUAAAUAGACACAUUUUAAUCUUUUAUUGUUGUUUCAAAAUACAAUGACAAGCUCAUGGAUCAUAAGAAGCUGAUGUCUAAGGACUCGUAACUCACAGAGUGGAAGAGUCACCACCUCAAGUGUCUGCUGACUGGAUGCAAGGAACUAAUCAAAUCCCCGAGGAAUUAGCUGAAAGUGUAUGCAAUCUCUCCUGUUCCUGGUUUGCAACCUACCUUGUCAGAUUAAGUAAUAAAUUCCUAAAAACCCUGGCCAAUUCUGAAAGCCCAUACUUGAAUUGUAUAUUAAACCUGAGCUGGGGAGAUA